rnacentral:rRNA from 1 species
UACGGAGGAUCCAAGCGUUAUCCGGAUUCAUUGGGUUUAAAGGGUGCGUAGGCGGACUGAUAAGUCAGCGGUGAAAUCUCUCGGCUCAACCGAGAAACUGCCGUUGAUACUGUCAGUCUUGAGUACAGAUGAUGUGGGCGGAAUAUGACAUGUAGUGGUGAAAUACUUAGAUAUGUCAUAGAACACCGAUUGCGAAGGCAGCUCACAAAAACUGUCACUGACGCUGAUGCACGAAAGCGUGGGGAUCAAACAGG